GAUGAACGCUGGCGGCGUGCCUAACACAUGCAAGUCGAACGGAGUUACUUGGGAGCUUGCUUCCGGGUAACUUAGUGGCGGACUGGUGAGUAACGCGUGAGCAAUCUGCCUUAAGGAGAGGGAUAACACAGAGAAAUUUGUGCUAAUACCUCAUAAUGUAUUCGGAGGGCAUCCUCUGGAUACCAAAGUUUUUUCGCCUUAAGAUGAGCUCGCGUCUGAUUAGGUAGUUGGUGAGGUAACGGCUCACCAAGCCUACGAUCAGUAGCCGAACUGAGAGGUUGGUCGGCCACAUUGGGACUGAGAUACGGCCCAGACUCCUACGGGAGGCAGCAGUGGGGGAUAUUGCACAAUGGAGGAAACUCUGAUGCAGCAACGCCGCGUGAAGGAAGAAGGCCUUCGGGUUGUAAACUUCUGUCCUCAGUGACGAAGUUCUGACGGUAACUGAGGAGGAAGCCACGGCUAACUACGUGCCAGCCGCCGCGGUAAAAC
rnacentral:rRNA from 1 species